rnacentral:rRNA from 1 species
GGGUGCGAUCAUACCAGCACUUAUGCACCGGAUCCCAUCAGAACUCCGCAGUUAAGUGUGCUUGGGCGAGAGUUGUACUAGGAUGGGUGACCUCCUGGGAAGUCCUCGUGUUGCACCCCCCU